CUCACGCCCCUGACUCCUUCCUGACCAGGCACUCACUCUGGGCCAGGACCCCAUCUGGCAGCUGAAGCUGAAGCAGUGACAGCAGGCGGGAAGUAGAAGCCUUACCAGCAGCCUGCAGGAAGGUGUCCUGCGUUCAGGUACCUGUGACCACGAGAGGAGCUGCUGCAAUCCAGAGAGGCACAUCCUCAGUCUGGGAGCAGAUUGGGAGCCACGAGCCACUGGCGCCAGUGGACAGGGCAGCAGACAGCCCAGACAGGGAAGGACUGGCCUGAAACCCGCAGCCUCAGCCAGAGCGGCAGGACCCCCAGGGCUGCCUGGGGUGAAAUGCAGCUCUGCCUCCGGGUGUCCAGGCCCGAGGUGCCCUGGCCCGGUCACCGUCUGAGUGGUGAGAGCAGCUGUCUGCGGGGAGGAGGUGGCCCAGAGCCCGUCGGACGGAGCAGCCCCCGCUGAGGCACGGCAUCCCUGGGUAUCGCCCCCUCCUGCCCCGGGAGGUGCCACAGGCCCAGCCUCAUGAUACCAUUCGUUAACGCCCCGCCCC